AUCUUUGUGCAGUGGUGGUAUCAUUGCCUAUGAGGUUUAUCUGAGGUGUGAUUAUUGCUAGUUGAAAACUUUACCCAAUACCCUGCCUUGAUGACUUGAUAUAGAGUCAACUGUGGCAAUUUGAUAGACUCCAAUGA